GCUAGUCUUAGUUGUUUUCUGUGUGCUGAGUCUGUGUCACUUCCCUGAUGUCCUUUGAUCUGUUCCCUGUUUUUCGUCUUGGUUUUGCCCAGGAGUGCAAAAGACUAAGUGUGGUCUAUUUUGAUGAGUCGAUAUUUUCUUGACUUUACUUAGUUUAUUGUGCUAGAAUUAAUCAGGGAAUUGUGCUUAAUUUUCCGGUAUUUUCCCGUUUUUCCUAAAUAUGCUUAAUUUGACCGAAAAUUCUAAUUUUAAUUAAUUGGAAUUUUCUGAGCUAAUUAUUUGCAUUAUUAUUUUCAGGGAAAAUUUUGGAAACACAAUUUGGGACAUUUAGAGGACACCAAAUAAAUUCAAGACUCUCAAAUUAGACAUUUUAAAUUUUAGUUGUCUUGUAAUUUAAUUGUUUAAACUUUUUAGAUAAACUUUUGCACAUUGGGCCAUUGUUUAAAAAUCAUGAAAAGCCCAAUUUUGUAGGACACUUGGCACCUAGGGUUUCCUUUUAUUUUAGGGUGGACCCCACCCAUUUUUAUGAGGACACAUGGUCCUAGGGAUCACCAACAUUACAACCAGCCGUCAUUUUUUUGAUUUUCUGGAGAGCUUGGACUCGGCAGAUUGGAAGAGAGGAUUUUUAUCUUGAAGCAAUGUUGACCGUCAUGGAUUUUGGAUGACUUUGGAAGAAGGCACUUGCUGGAAUGGUGCAGGGGAUUCACUGCUGCAGCCACCUCUCAUUUUAGCAUUUCUUUUUGUUUAGUUUUUUUUUUUUAUUAUUAUUGGAAGCAGCAGCAUGCAUAGCUUGAAGCUAGAGUUGAUGGAACGUUGGCACCACUCUGAGUAGCAUUCACUUCUUUUAUAUCUUUGAUAAUAAAAUAUUUUGAUUUGCUAGAAAGAUACCAUUCGGUCACGGUGAAGGAUUUUUUUUUUAUAUUCAACAUUUUUUUUUAGAAGAUUGGAGGCAUUGAUUGAAGAUAGAGUAGUAGCGCUGCUGCAACCACCACCUAGGAAAGCACACUUUCAUUUUAUAUUUCAUUUAGUAAUA
rnacentral:lncRNA from 1 species